rnacentral:rRNA from 1 species
UGGCUCAGAGCGAACGCUGGCGGCAGGCUUAACACAUGCAAGUCGAACGCUCACCUUCGGGUGGGAGUGGCAGACGGGUGAGUAACACGUGGGAACGUACCCUUUGGUUCGGAAUAACUCAGGGAAACUUGAGCUAAUACCGGAUACGCCCUUUUGGGGAAAGGUUUACUGCCGAAGGAUCGGCCCGCGUCUGAUUAGCUAGUUGGUGGGGUAACGGCCUACCAAGGCGACGAUCAGUAGCUGGUCUGAGAGGAUGAUCAGCCACACUGGGACUGAGACACGGCCCAGACUCCUACGGGAGGCAGCAGUGGGGAAUAUUGGACAAUGGGCGCAAGCCUGAUCCAGCCAUGCCGCGUGAGUGAUGAAGGCCUUAGGGUUGUAAAGCUCUUUUGUCCGGGACGAUAAUGAC